AAAGUUCUAAAAUCACUACUAAUUGAGAACGUUAUAGCAAUUAUGAGAUUCUACCUUUGCUUAUGUCUAUGUCUCUAUCUUUAUCUCCAUUUUUUUUUAUUCUGACCUGGUACCUGUGUCAUGCAUGUGGAGAACUGCUGGUUAAGGAACUCCCUCUCUCAGUACAGGAGGCUUCCUCAGGUCUUGAUCUCCAUGUGGAGUCUUCACCCAGAAGUCUACCAGUGCAGCCUCCUCUAUAACCAGAGCCACUCACCUAGCAAGCCCAUGCAGUUUCCAGGGAAAGAAUCUCCUCCAAAGCCACGGCUCCUGGCCUGCCUUUCGCAGCUGGAUACAGGCUGGGGAAACUUGGUGAUGGAGAGAGGAGGGACACAAGUGGUGUAUUCAGGAAGGUACCCUGGAAGCUAUGGUGCCAUGUUCUUAAGGAAUGAGGUCAAAGCUGAGAGCUACAAUGGUUCACAAGGUAUGUGCACUAUCCCUACUGCCGCCA
rnacentral:lncRNA from 1 species